rnacentral:rRNA from 1 species
CCGCCUUCCCUUUUGGGUUGGUGGUGAGAGUGGCGAACGGGUGAGUAACACGUGAGUAACCUGCCCUCUUCUUUGGGAUAACUGCAAGAAAUUGUGGCUAAUACUGGAUAUUCUGCGUCUGCCGCAUGGUGGGUGUGGGAAAGGUUUUUCUGGUGGGGGAUGGGCUCGCGGUCUAUCAGCUUGUUGGUGGGGUGAUGGCUUACCAAGGCUUUGACGGGUAGCCGGCCUGAGAGGGUGGUCGGUCACACUGGGACUGAGAUACGGCCCAGACUCCUACGGGAGGCAGCAGUGGGGAAUUUUGCACAAUGGACGCAAGUCUGAUGCAGCGACGCCGCGUGGGGGAUGAAGGCCUUCGGGUUGUAAACCUCUUUCGCUCAUGGUCUAGGCGCUCUUUUGGGAGUGUUGAGUUGAGUGGGUAAAGAAGCGCCGGCUAACUACGUGCCAGCAGCCGCGGUAAUACGUAGGGCGCGAGCGUUGUCCGGAAUUAUUGGGCGUAAAGAGCUCGUAGGCGGUUUGUCGCGUCUGUCGUGAAAACUAGGGGCUUAACUCCUAGCUUGCGGUGGGUACGGGCAGGCUUGAGUGCAGUAGGGGAGACUGGAAUUCCUGGUGUAGCGGUGGAAUGCGCAGAUAUCAGGAGGAAUACCGGUGGCGAAGGCGGGUCUCUGGGCUGUUACUGACGCUGAGGAGCGAAAGCAUGGGGAGCGAACAGGAUUAGAUACCCUGGUAGUCCAUGCUGUAAACGUUGGGCACUAGGUGUGGGGGCUGUUGUGGUUUCUGCGCCGUAGCUAACGCAUUAAGUGCCCCGCCUGGGGAGUACGGCCGCAAGGCUAAAACUCAAAGGAAUUGACGGGGGCCCGCACAAGCGGCGGAGCAUGCGGAUUAAUUCGAUGCAACGCGAAGAACCUUACCAAGGCUUGACAUGCACCGGACCGCCGUGGAGACAUGGUUUCCUUUUUGGCUGGUGUGCAGGUGGUGCAUGGUUGUCGUCAGCUCGUGUCGUGAGAUGUUGGGUUAAGUCCCGCAACGAGCGCAACCCUUGUCCUAUGUUGCCAGCACGUUGUGGUGGGGACUCGUGGGAGACUGCCGGGGUUAACUCGGAGGAAGGUGGGGAUGACGUCAAAUCAUCAUGCCCCUUAUGUCUUGGGCUUCACGCAUGCUACAAUGGCGCCUACAGUGUGUUGCGAUGCCGUGAGGUGGAGCGAAUCACUUAAAGGGUGUCUUAGUUCGGAUC